rnacentral:rRNA from 1 species
GCGCGUAGCAAUACGCGAGUGGCGCACGGGUGAGUAACACGUGGGAACCAACCCAGAGGUUCGGAAUAACCGCGGGAAACUGCGGCUAAUACCGGAUAUCCCCUACGGGGGAAAGAUUUAUCGCCUCUGGACGGGCCCGCGUCCGAUUAGCUAGUUGGUGAGGUAAUGGCUCACCAAGGCGACGAUCGGUAGCUGGUCUGAGAGGACGACCAGCCACACUGGAACUGAGACACGGUCCAGACUCCUACGGGAGGCAGCAGUGGGGAAUAUUGGGCAAUGGAGGCAACUCUGACCCAGCCAUGCCGCGUGGGUGACGAAGGUCUUCGGAUUGUAAAGCCCUUUCGGCGGGGACGAUGAUGACGGUACCCGCAGAAGAAGCCCCGGCUAACUUCGUGCCAGCAGCCGCGGUAAUACGAAGGGGGCUAGCGUUGUUCGGAAUUACUGGGCGUAAAGGGCGUGUAGGCGGCCCGUUAAGUCAGGUGUGAAAUUCCUGGGCUCAACCCAGGACGUGCGCCUGAGACUGGCGGGCUUGAGUCCGGGAGAGGAUGGUGGAACUCCCAGUGUAGAGGUGAAAUUCGUAGAUAUUGGGAAGAACACCCGUGGCGAAGGCGGCCAUCUGGACCGGUACUGACGCUAAGGCGCGACAGCGUGGGGAGCAAACAGGAUUAGAUACCCUGGUAGUCCACGCC